rnacentral:ncRNA from 1 species
UCUUAUCAAGAGAAGCUGAGGGAAAUGGCCCUAUGAAGCUUCAGCAACCUCUGCUCUGCAGAAAGGUGCUAAGUCCUACAAGACAACUGUCUUGGAAGAUAAGA